AGUGAACGCUGGCGGUAGGCCUAACACAUGCAAGUCGAACGGCAGCACAGUAAGAGCUUGCUCUUACGGGUGGCGAGUGGCGGACGGGUGAGGAAUACAUCGGAAUCUACUUUUUCGUGGGGGAUAACGUAGGGAAACUUACGCUAAUACCGCAUACGACCUACGGGUGAAGGCAGGGGAUCUUCGGACCUUGCGCGAUUGAAUGAGCCGAUGUCGGAUUAGCUAGUUGGCGGGGUAAAGGCCCACCAAGGCGACGAUCCGUGGCUGGUCUGAGAGGAUGAUCAGCCACACUGGAACUGAGACACGGUCCAGACUCCUACGGGAGGCAGCAGUGGGGAAUAUUGGACAAUGGGCGCAAGCCUGAUCCAGCCAUACCGCGUGGGUGAAGAAGGCCUUCGGGUUGUAAAGCCCUCUUGUUGGGAAAGAAAAGCAGCAGGUUAAUACCCCGCUGUUCUGACGGUACCCAAAGAAUAAGCACCGGCUAACUUCGUG
rnacentral:rRNA from 1 species